GACGAACGCUGGCGGCGUGCUUAACACAUGCCAGUCGAACGGAAAGGCCCUGCUUUUGUGGGGUGCUCGAGUGGCGAACGGGUGAGUAACACGUGAGUAACCUGCCCUUGACUUUGGGAUAACUUCAGGAAACUGGGGCUAAUACCGGAUAGGAGCUCCUGCUGCAUGGUGGGGGUUGGAAAGUUUCGGCGGUUGGGGAUGGACUCGCGGCUUAUCAGCUUGUUGGUGGGGUAGCGGCUUACCAAGGCUUUGACGGGUAGCCGGCCUGAGAGGGUGACCGGCCACAUUGGGACUGAGAUACGGCCCAGACUCCUACGGGAGGCAGCAGUGGGGAAUAUUGCACAAUGGGCGGAAGCCUGAUGCAGCAACGCCGCGUGCGGGAUGACGGCCUUCGGGUUGUAAACCGCUUUCGCCUGUGACGAAGCGUGAGUGACGGUAAUGGGUAAAGAAGCACCGGCUAACUACGUG
rnacentral:rRNA from 1 species